AAAAAAGGUGGCACGACAAUAAACCAGAAAUUGUAUAUAUUUAUUUCAUAAUCCUUUUUGAGCGAAACUUCGACAGCAAGAAGAGCUGAUUACGAAAAGGAGGCCGGGAUUUAUUUGACAAGGGAUGAUCUCGAAGAGGCUUUCAGAGAGAAGGAGCUCGAUGAAGACGGGAAAAGACUUUUUAGAUUUGCUAUGCGUACCGUGUCUGAAGAAAAUGUAAAGAGUAAAAUAUGUAAUGUUGAACUUACUGUUUAUCUUGCUCACAACAACAAAAUUACUAUCAGUAAAGGAGCUCCAAAACAGAAAAUGAUUAUACUCCUGGAUGAGAAAAAGGAACCUAUCCUAUUGGGAAAUUAAAAGCAGUCCUUAACCAAACGUUAAUAGUAAUUUUCUGUGAGGCUAUGCAAAGGCUACUUUGUGCAUAUCAUUAAAGACUUUCUGAAACGUUUCAUCAACGAACUAGGUUAAAAUGCUAAGUCUCCAACCUAGUCUCAAAGUUCCAGCAUUUGACCGACUACAUCAGAGCACAAUCAACUGUUGUGCUUUGAGACUGUUUUUGAAUUCAGGUUUAUUGUUUUUCGUUUACUUUUGCCAUGCUGUGACAAUGUGGAAAACGUGCAUAUGACCAUAUUUGAAAUAUGGAGCGGGUCAUACGAAACCUGCCCUGAUAACCGCCGUUGCAUCCAUGCAUUAAUCUUUAUUCUAUCAUGUUGAAAAAAAACGUUUACGGCGGCGGUGCGUUAACACAUCACCAGUCUGUGGUCUGACUUUAAAUUCAAGUACGGGUGUUCCUUUACUUCGAAUCGGAACAUUAAACUAAUAUAAUAAAAGUUCAAAAACGUAUGUCUACCGUAACUACGUCUGUUUUUAAAUCUUAUUUGCAAACACACUAGCAAUUUUGAAUUAAUCCGAUGUUCGCCAUAUACUUCAAGCGGUCUUUUUUUAUUUUUGCAUUCUAAUGAAACGACCAAAACCUCGGUCUUAUGUAAACAGGACAGUAUAUAUAUAAUCUCUAUCUUCGACGCUCGUUUUGAAUGAGGAACUACGUGUUCAAAUCCCAUAACUUAUCAUAUUGUUUGUUUUUCUAUUGCUUAAUUGUGUGUUUACAUUAUUUUAAUAGUUUAUGUUUUAUGCGCUCUUCAUAGCAAUAUCUAACUCUCAAAGAGAUCAUUUACAGAAUAACAAAGCAUGGCAGAAAGUUAAACAUUUCCUUUCAUUCAUGUGAAUUGACAAUUUCAUGAUUAGUUGUUGUGUUUAGGAUACAAACAUUUUAUAGAUCCAAUAGAAAAACCCAUGAAAUUCCGAUUUACAAAUUGCAAAUCUGUAUGAAUGUGUACAUGUUUAACAUACGCACAAAAAUACAAACAACAAGUAGAACAUAGAACAAGGAGGAUGAAUCCAACAAAUGAAUAUGUAGGAGAAAAACAAAACAAAUGUCCUACCAUCCUGUUUCACUUCAAAAACUGUUUUAAAUAAAGUUCUACCAACCAAUACUUUUCCAGUAAGAUAUUUAAUGUAUUUAAUAGUAUAAUAGCAAAAUAAAAUGUUAUUUAAAAGUUCAAUAGGUUCUUGACCUCUACAGUCACCUUACUGCAGCAGUAAAUUCUACCAAAGACAUAACAUAGGUCUGAUUACGCCAGUUACAGGGUAACUCCUUCCUCAAGGCAAGACAAUAAAGGAAAUAUUGUACAAUUUAGGCAUUAACUUUUGUUUAAAACUUCGAAGAUUCUUUGUUUCAAUAGAACUGCGACUUGUGCCUUAGUACAGUUGCAGAUGUAUCUCUAUGAAUUAGAACAGAAAGAUCAGAAAAUGAUUUAACUUGUUAUAUGCGGUAGGGUGCUGGCCAAGACUAAGCUGACCCGACCCAGGUAGCCGUGAGAAUUGCUCCAAUGGUGUCAUUAGACUCAGUGAAGGUAGUGCUUGGGUUUUCAGGACCGUCUUGACUACUCUGACAAGUUCAAAGGGACAUUUUUCAUUUUUCAUUUCAUGAAAAUCAUCUUGAAAGCCAACACGAAUUGACAGAUGCAGCAAAAAUAGUAAAUAAAUACUCUUACAGUAUACACCAAAUAAGUGCAGACACAACAGUCAAAAGAAUUUUAAGAAAUAAUUUAUCAGACUUUCGAAUGAGUUACCAACACAGGCCCCUAGAUGAUGCCCAGUCAGAAUAGCUAAAUGGCCAUUUAUGGAUGUCCGGGGACACAGAGGUUUCUCUUCAUAGAACAGACUGUAUGUGAUUGACAACCAGUGAUCAUGACACUUAAGUUUAAACAAAGCGUAGUAUUUUAUAGCAAAGCAUUUUGCAGCACGAGAGGCAUCUGCAACAAAUCAAAAGAAUAUGUCAAUUCAUAAUUAUAAAUUCAUAAUUAUAUGAAAUAAGUUAAGGCUCUUUUAUGUUAGACUGAUGUUAUGCAAGUUCAAAUCAACUAUAAUACAAAAAAAAAACAUAAUUUUUCAUUGCAGAAUCCUAUCUGAGCAAUCUUGAACAACAAGAAGAGCUGAUUACGAAAAAAUAAAAUUAAAGCAGUUUUAUCUUUUUAAAUCUUAAAUCGUUAUAUCGUUCUGUAAAGACAUCCUCGAUUUUCGCAUGAUACUCGUGAAUAUACUGAAUGACAUAGGUAACUUCAAGGCCUUUUAUAUUGUUUUACUUCCUGGCUCAGUUUUACAUGUACAAUAAAUGUACGUAUAUUUCAUGCAUUGUUAGUAGUCGCUGACUUACAAUACGUCUUUAAUGUUCUUCUGAGUAAAACAUGAUCGAACAAAUUCUAACCUGGUGGCCGGACAUAUAUCAUCAACCAAGUUACACAAACACAUGCGUGCGCAAGUCACUUAAAAUACGAUUCUUGGCAAUGAUUUGCAAUUGCAGUGCUUUGUUUCACCACCGAAUCGCCAAAUAUGACCUUUUUAAUUAUUUUUUUUCGAUACGUCACGGAGCGUUCAGGAUUAAAUUCUUGAACUCGUGUUCCUGAUAUUUAAACAAAUUAUUGUACAGUUAGGUACCAAAGCACCCGUUUUCAUUUGUGAAACAUGUUCUUCAGUCGCUUAACAGCAUCUUGUUAAAAGAACAAAAAAUGGACAGAAUGGCGUGUCUUUUACUGGAAAAAGCUUUUUAUCAGAAAGUUUGCGAUGGUCACGAUAAUGCACUGGAAAUUUUAUUUCUGAUUUUAAAACAAAGGAAAUACAUACAAUUUAAGUUGAAAACUACUUUUUUCAACUGAGAGCAGAAUAAGCUUUUCUAGCUUACAAUGGUUUACAGUGACGACCGUCUAUGUGGGCCUUAAAAACUGAUUUGUCACCUGGGCUAUUACAGCUGAAAAACAAGUCUUACUGGACAUUAGUAUGCACGCUUGUUUAACUUGCUGUGUGGACUGACGAGCGCAGCUAUCUGCAAAUAAUUAUGUGAAAGAGCAUAUUCGCCUACACAGAGGAAUUUUAUGAACGGAAGUACUAUUUAAAAAUGUCAAGCAACGAAGGAAAUCUUGAAAAACAGAGUGACUCUGUUGAACAAAGUGAUCCUGCAAAGGCUCUUAUUGAAGAGCGAAUCAGGAAGAAAGAGAAGGAACUGCAACAAGUAACUUCACACAUUGAAC